GUCCCUGGCAAAUCCGCUCUUUAAUCUGAAGACGUGAUGUGGACUGAAAAUAAGUAGGGUAGCACGUGAGCUGACUGUCAAGAAAAGCCGCUAUUGUUUGCAGGAUACCCGUACCGUAAACCGACACAGGUGGAUGAGGAGAGAAUCCUAAGGCCGACGGGAGAAGCAUUGUUAAGGAACUCGGCAAAAUGACUCCGUAACUUCGGGAGAAGGAGUGCCAGUAAGAUGGCCGCAGAGAAUUGGCCCAAGCAACUGUUUAGCAAAAACACAGGUCUAUGCAAAACCGAAAGGUGAGGUAUAUGGGCUGACGCCUGCCCGGUGCUGGAAGGUUAAGGGGAGAGGUUAGCGCAAGCGAAGCUUUGAACUUAAGCCCCAGUAAACGGCGGCCGUAACAAUAACGGUCCUAAGGUAGCGAAAUUCCUUGUCGGGUAAGUUCCGACCCGCACGAAAGGCGUAAUGAUUUGGGCACUGUCUCAACAAUGCACCCGGUGAAAUUGAAAUACCAGUGAAGAUGCUGGUUACCUGCGCCAGGACGGAAAGACCCCAUGGAGCUUUACUCCAGCUUGAUACUGGGAUUCGGUAUUGCAUGUACAGGAUAGGUGGGAGGCUAGGAAAUGGUAACGCCAGUUGCCAUGGAGCCAAUGUUGGGAUACCACCCUUGCAGUACUGGGUUUCUAACCAGCAGCCGUGAUCCGGCUGGGGGACAAUGUCAGGUGGGGAGUUUGACUGGGGCGGUCGCCUCCGAAAGGGUAUCGGAGGCGCUCAAAGGUUCCUUCAGAAUGGUUGGAAACCAUUCGAAGAGUGCAAAGGCAGAAGGGAGCUUGACUGCGACACCGACGGGUGGAGCAGGUACGAAAGUAGGACUUAGUGAUCCGGUGGUAUAAAGUGGGAUUGCCAUCGCUCAACGGAUAAAAGCUACCCUGGGAUAACAGGCUUAUCACUCCCAAGAGUUCACAUCGACGGAGUGGUUUGGCACCUCGAUGUCGGCUCAUCGCAUCCUGGGGCUGAAGUAGGUCCCAAGGGUUGGGCUGUUCGCCCAUUAAAGCGGUACGCGAGCUGGGUUCAGAACGUCGUGAGACAGUUCGGUCCCUAUCCGGCGUGGGCGUAAGAUAUUUGAGAGGAGCUGUCCUUAGUACGAGAGGACCGGGAUGGACUGGCCGCUGGUGUAUCUGUUGUCUUACCAAAGGCAUAGCAGAGUAGCCAAGCCGGGAAGGGAUAAACGCUGAAGGCAUCUAAGCGUGAAGCCCCCCUCAAGAUGAGAUAUCUCAUAACGUCAAGUUAGUAAGACCCCUUGAAGACGACGAGGUAGAUAGGGCAGAGGUGGAAGUGUGGUAACACAUGGAGCUGACUGUUACUAAUAGGUCGAGGGCAUAACCU
rnacentral:rRNA from 1 species